AGUAAAUGUAAUUAAAGCUGGUUAAAAAAAAAAAGAUUCCAGGACCUUUUCAUUCUGGCCUUAAUAAACCUGCUUGCUCUGCUCCCUUCUCCUCCAGGGAGGGAUUCUGCCAUAUGUUAGGAGGCCCGGGACGUGGACCUUACACCUUUCGCCUGAUGUGUGGGCACAGCAAGUUGAGGAGGGCAGGUGGCGGGUGAGGACUAGGCUCUUUCAGGACCCCUUGGAGGAGGUUUUCCAGAGAGUGACUCUCGACACCAGGCAUAAGUAACCACAGCUGGUCUGUGGACGAGCAAACAAGGAAGGUCCAAACUGAGAGUCGCUGGUGUGCGGAAGUUCUAGAGAAAAUCGCAAGACCAGGAACGAGGGCGGCGGAAACAGAAGACAGCGCCGCGGAGGAGGGGACCUCGAGGUGGAAGAAAGCGUGGACAGAGCAAGCGACCCCGCAGGCGCGGGGCGUGGAACAGCGCCCACGUGCU
rnacentral:lncRNA from 1 species